rnacentral:rRNA from 1 species
UACGUAGGGUGCAAGCGUUGUCCGGAAUUAUUGGGCGUAAAGAGCGCGCAGGCGGUUUGGCAAGUUGGACGUGAAAUUUUAGGGCUUAACCCUAAAGGGUCGUCCAAAACUCCCAGACUAGAGUGCAGGAGAGGAAAGCGGAAUUCCCGGUGUAGUGGUGAAAUGCGUAGAUAUCGGGAGGAACACCAGAGGCGAAGGCGGCUUUCUGGCCUGUAACUGACGCUGAGGCGCGAAGGCUGGGGUAGCGAACAGG